UACGGAGGGUGCAAGCGUUAUCCGGAUUCACUGGGUUUAAAGGGUGCGUAGGUGGAUUGCCAAGUCCGUGGUGAAAUCUCCGAGCUUAACUCGGAAACUGCCGUGGAUACUGGUAAUCUUGAAUAUCGUGGAGGUAAGCGGAAUAUGUCAUGUAGCGGUGAAAUGCUUAGAUAUGACAUAGAACACCGAUAGCGAAGGCAGCUUGCUACACGAUCAUUGACACUGAGGCACGAAAGCGUGGGGAGCAAACAGG
rnacentral:rRNA from 1 species